rnacentral:rRNA from 1 species
UACGUAGUGGGCUAGCGUUGCUCGGAAUCACUGGGCGUAAAGCGCACGUAGGCGGCUUUUUAAGUCAGGGGUGAAAUCCUGGAGCUCAACUCCAGAACUGCCUUUGAUACUGAGGAGCUUGAGUCCGGGAGAGGUGAGUGGAACUGCGAGUGUAGAGGUGAAAUUCGUAGAUAUUCGCAAGAACACCAGUGGCGAAGGCGGCUCACUGGCCCGGUACUGACGCUGAGGUGCGAAAGCGUGGGGAGCAAACAGG